rnacentral:tRNA from 1 species
AUGAUAAUUAGUUUAAGCCAAAAACAAAUGAUUUCGACUCAUUAGAUU